rnacentral:rRNA from 1 species
UUUAUGGAGAGUUUGAUCCUGGCUCAGGAUGAACGCUGGCGGCGUGCCUAAUACAUGCAAGUCGAGCGAACAGACGAGGAGCUUGCUCCUCUGACGUUAGCGGCGGACGGGUGAGUAACACGUGGAUAACCUACCUAUAAGACUGGGAUAACUUCGGGAAACCGGAGCUAAUACCGGAUAAUAUAUUGAACCGCAUGGUUCAAUAGUGAAAGACGGUUUUGCUGUCACUUAUAGAUGGAUCCGCGCCGCAUUAGCUAGUUGGUAAGGUAACGGCUUACCAAGGCAACGAUGCGUAGCCGACCUGAGAGGGUGAUCGGCCACACUGGAACUGAGACACGGUCCAGACUCCUACGGGAGGCAGCAGUAGGGAAUCUUCCGCAAUGGGCGAAAGCCUGACGGAGCAACGCCGCGUGAGUGAUGAAGGUCUUCGGAUCGUAAAACUCUGUUAUUAGGGAAGAACAAAUGUGUAAGUAACUAUGCACGUCUUGACGGUACCUAAUCAGAAAGCCACGGCUAACUACGUGCCAGCAGCCGCGGUAAUACGUAGGUGGCAAGCGUUAUCCGGAAUUAUUGGGCGUAAAGCGCGCGUAGGCGGUUUUUUAAGUCUGAUGUGAAAGCCCACGGCUCAACCGUGGAGGGUCAUUGGAAACUGGAAAACUUGAGUGCAGAAGAGGAAAGUGGAAUUCCAUGUGUAGCGGUGAAAUGCGCAGAGAUAUGGAGGAACACCAGUGGCGAAGGCGACUUUCUGGUCUGUAACUGACGCUGAUGUGCGAAAGCGUGGGGAUCAAACAGGAUUAGAUACCCUGGUAGUCCACGCCGUAAACGAUGAGUGCUAAGUGUUAGGGGGUUUCCGCCCCUUAGUGCUGCAGCUAACGCAUUAAGCACUCCGCCUGGGGAGUACGACCGCAAGGUUGAAACUCAAAGGAAUUGACGGGGACCCGCACAAGCGGUGGAGCAUGUGGUUUAAUUCGAAGCAACGCGAAGAACCUUACCAAAUCUUGACAUCCUCUGACCCCUCUAGAGAUAGAGUUUUCCCCUUCGGGGGACAGAGUGACAGGUGGUGCAUGGUUGUCGUCAGCUCGUGUCGUGAGAUGUUGGGUUAAGUCCCGCAACGAGCGCAACCCUUAAGCUUAGUUGCCAUCAUUAAGUUGGGCACUCUAAGUUGACUGCCGGUGACAAACCGGAGGAAGGUGGGGAUGACGUCAAAUCAUCAUGCCCCUUAUGAUUUGGGCUACACACGUGCUACAAUGGACAAUACAAAGGGCAGCGAAAC